rnacentral:rRNA from 1 species
CCUACGGGUGGCUGCAGUGGGGAAUAUUGGACAAUGGGCGAAAGCCUGAUCCAGCCAUGCCGCGUGUGUGAAGAAGGCCUUCGGGUUGUAAAGCACUUUCAGUGGGGAAGAAAGCCUUGGGGCUAAUACCCUCGAGGUAGGACAUCACCCACAGAAGAAGCACCGGCUAACUCCGUGCCAGCAGCCGCGGUAAUACGGAGGGUGCGAGCGUUAAUCGGAAUUACUGGGCGUAAAGCGCGCGUAGGCGGUCUGAUAAGCCGGUUGUGAAAGCCCCGGGCUCAACCUGGGAACGGCAUCCGGAACUGUCAGGCUAGAGUGCAGGAGAGGAAGGUAGAAUUCCCGGUGUAGCGGUGAAAUGCGUAGAGAUCGGGAGGAAUACCAGUGGCGAAGGCGGCCUUCUGGACUGACACUGACGCUGAGGUGCGAAAGCGUGGGUAGCAAACAGGAUUAGAUACCCUUUAGUC